rnacentral:RNase_P_RNA from 1 species
UGAGACCUCUUGAUGGCCGCGGCCGUGAUCUUCAUUGGGAUCGGCUGAGGAACUUCCGGGCUCCAUAGAGCACGAUGGCGGAUAACGUCCGCCCAGGGUGACCUGAGAGAUAGCGCAACAGAGAACAGACCGCCCGUCCUCGACGGGUAAGGGUGAAACGGCGGUGUAAGAGACCACCGGGCCUCUGGUAACAGUAGGUCGCAUGGCAAGCCUCAUCGGGAGCAAGGCCAAGCAGAUGGCGGUAAGGGCUGCUCGCCCGUGUCAUCGGGUAGGCUGCUAGAGCCUGGCGGCAACGUCAGGUCGAGAUGGAUGGCCAUCCGUGCCGUGCGUUNNNNNNNNNNCACGACAGAACCCGGGGUAUAAGAGGUCUCAUUUU